rnacentral:tRNA from 1 species
GGGGUAGGUAGCACAAGAAGAAGCUUCUAACUUCCCCCUUAAGCGGUUAAACUCCGUUUCUACCCCU